rnacentral:rRNA from 2 species
CAGGGGGCGGUGCUAUCAUGCAGUCGACGAGUUCUCGUUGAUGAUCGGUGCUUGCACCGAGAUUCAACAUGGAACGAGUGGCGGACGGGUGAGUAACACGUGGGUAACCUGCCCUUAAGUGGGGGAUAACAUUUGGAAACAGAUGCUAAUACCGCAUAGAUCCAAGAACCGCAUGGUUCUUGGCUGAAAAAUGGCGUAAGCUAUCGCUUUUGGAUGGACCCGCGGCGUAUUAGCUAGUUGGGGAGGUAAUGGCUCACCAAGGCGAUGAUACGUAGCCAAACUGAGAGGUUGAUCGGCCACUUUGGGACUGAGACACGGCCCAAACUCCUACGGGAGGCAGCAGUAGGGAAUCUUCCACAAUGGACGCAAGUCUGAUGGAGCACCGCCGCGUGAGUAAAGAAGGCUUUCGGGUCGUAAAACUCUGUUGUUAGAGAAGAAUGGUCGGCAGAGUAACUGUUGUCGGCGUGACGGUAUCCAACCAGAAAGCCACGGCUAACUACGUGCCAGCAGCCGCGGUAAUACGUAGGUGGCAAGCGUUAUCCGGAUUUAUGGGGCGUAAAGCGAGCGCAGGCGGUUUUUUAAGUCUGAUGUGAAAGCCCUCGGCUUAACCGAGGAAGCGCAUCGAAAACUGGAAAACUUGAGUGCAGAAGAGGACAGUGAAACUCCGUGUGUAGCGGUGAAUCGCGUAUAUUUUGGAAGAACCCAGUGGGAAGGCGGCUUCUGGUCUGAACUGACGCUGAGGCCAAAAGCUGGGUGGCGACAGGAUUAGACCCCGGGUACCCUAGCCGAAACGAUAAUGCUAGGUGUGAAGGUUUCCCCCUUCAGUGCCGAGCAACGCUUAAUCAUCCCCCGGGGAACCUGCCGCAGGGUGAACCUCAAGGAUUGCCGGGGCCCGCACACGGGUGAACUUGGGUUUAUUGAAGCACGAAGAGACUUGCUGGUCUGAUUCUAUGAUCCGUGAAAGCAGGUUUCU